CCAAAAAGACAAACAACCUACUUGUUGUCAGCAACAGACUUUCUGCCAUGCUAUUUUUGUUUGGCUAUGUACAUCAGAACAGAUCUCUGGAGGCAUCAAAGGCGUUGCAAAUUGAGACCAGACGGGCCAGUGAAACGAAAAGUUCAGACAUAUUGCUCCUUCCUCUUGCCAAUGGACCAUCCCGUUUCCGAUGGACUUAAAAAAAUUCUGGAGGACAUGACAUAUGAUGCUGUUACACGACGGGUGAAAUCCAACCAACUGAUUCUGUCAUUGGGUGAGAGGAUGUUCCUGAAAAAUGGAGAAGUUGGAUGCCAUCGAGCAGAUAUGAGAAAUAAAAUGCGAGAACUUACCAGACUUGUUCUGGUGGCAAGAGAUCUUGACAAAGACACUGUUUUCCUGAAGGACUUGAUUACCCCGGCUAAAUUUAACACUGUGCUUGCGGCAGUGAAAAAGAUGACAGGAUUUGACCACCUAACAAACAGAUUUGCAGUUCCCUCAACUGCACUAAAACUACGCCAUUCCCCGAUGAAGGUCUGAUAUAUUUUGUAGGGAGAGGCUCUGCGACUAGAGGAUGACAUCUUAAAGGCACAAGCAGAACAUUUCAGCAAAUUAAUUCAACUGGAAUGGACAACCCACGUGCCAUCAAAUGCAUUAAAAACGUUGUACCAGAGGAAAUGGAACAAGCCACAAGUACUGCCUCUUGCCAAGGACAUAAAGAAGCUCCAGGACCACUUGAAAACUGCUGUGGAGGUCAGCAGAAAGUCCCUCCUGGAGUGUCCAUCAUCAAACGCAUGGAAUAAUCUUUCUCAAGCAACUUUGACACAGCUGACCCUCUUCAACUGGCAUCGUGAAGGAGAGGUUUCCAGGAUGGAGGUCGAAACAUACCGACACAGAAACAAACACAUUAUGCAAGAUGAAAUUCUGCAGAGCCUCACAGCCUUUGAAAAAAAAUUGUGUGAAAACCUCACCAGGAUAGAAGUGCGUGGGAAAAGAGGACGCAAAGUACCAAUACUCCUUUCAACAGAUGCAAAAGAAUCCAUAGAUCUUCUGAUCAACACUAGAGACAAUGUUGGGGUUUCUCCAAGCAACCCCUACAUUUUUGCUUGUCCUGUCAAAGAGUCUGUGGAGCCUAUUCGUGGAUGUGACACUUUAAGGCGAUAUGCACAAAGCUGUGGGGCUAAGCAUCCAGAAAACAUCCCCUCCACUACACUAAGAAAGCAUGUGGCUACAGUUUCACAGCUUUUAAACUUAGAAGAUAAUGAACUGGACCAGCUGGCAACAUUCAAGGGACACAACAUUAAUGUGCAUAGGAAGUUUUACAAAAUGCCUGAAGCAACUCUGCAAGUGACAAAAGCAGAAUUCUGUUUGCCAUCCAAAAUGGAAUGGGCAAAUUCAAAGGAUAAUCCCUGGAGGACAUUAUCCCAAACAUUGACUAUGGCUCCAGUGACUCAGAAACAGAAAAUUUUCACUCUAAAGACCAGUCUGCCCCUACAGAUGAGGAUGUGGUUUCAGGAAACUUGGAUGCGGAGGAUUCAGAAGAAAGGGCUACUCUUUCAAGAAGGACUGACCUCUCGGAAAAGCCUGUUGAAGACACAGAGAAAUUGCCAUACGAUCCAAAAAUUAUUUAGAGGGAAACCCUAAAGGCCCUGGUCCCAAAGAGAGAGGGAUAUCAUUGAACAGCAUUUUAAGAGAUUCCUGAAGGAAAUGAAGAUCCCUAGCAAACUAGACUGUGAGAAAUGCUUACAUGAAAACAAUAUUCUAAAGGAUAAUGACAGAGACUGGAAAGCUGUGAAAUAUUUUGUUCACAACUGAAUCACUUCUAUGAAAAAAAAACAUUUGAGUCAGGGGUAUUGAGACAAUAAAUACUGAGAGCUCGCAUUGUGGAUGAUCAAUGUUCAAUGUCAUUCUGGGAGCUCGCAUAUGGAGUAUCAAUGUAGAGUGUUAAUACUGAGAGUCCAGUAAAAUGGAGCUUUCAGUGUUAGACUCAUAACAUUGGUAGUCCAUGUAAAUGGAGCAUCAGUGUCAUUGUUUUAAUUACCGCUAACUCUUCAUUGUUUGUAUUGUGCCUUGCUCGUCAUUGUAUUAUGUCUUGCUUUUCAUUGUUUUAUUGCCUGUUGCAAUUUUUUAUUAUGCUCUUCUUGAUUAUUAUUUAAUUUUUAUUGUUAAUAACGACCUCUUGCUUUAUAAAAAAUAUUUUCAUUGUCUGUAGCUCUUUUCAUGGUUUUUAAAUGUGUCUCCCUAUUUAUCUAUCUAUCACUUUUAAUAUUUCUAUAAUUUGUGUGUUAUCGUUGUGGUCACUCAUCACUGAGGGUGGAAAGUCUGCACUACCGCGGGGGCGGGGG